AUGCUCACUUCAGGAGCACAUAUGCUAAAAUUAGAACAAUACAGAGAUUAGCAUGGCACCAGUUAGAGGAUAACAUGCAAAUUCAUAAAGUAUUCCAUGUUUAA
ensembl:snRNA U6 U6 spliceosomal RNA